ensembl:lncRNA
GCUUUAUUGACGGGACCUUCUGUUGUUCAAAACAAAGUCAUGAAGAACGUCUCCGUAGCAGAACGAUGACGAAUGUUUUAAAUGAUUUUUCUCCCAGUGAAAAUAAUACCGAAUAUGAGUAAAGCUCAGACAGUCAACACGUUGGACACUCUCUCAGCGCGUACCGUAGUGUAGGGAGUUCAGAGAGGACGUCUCUCUCUCUCUCUCUCUUCCAUAGUCUCUGUCUUCUCCUGUCGAUACACGUCAACACUGGACAGAAUGUUUUCAUUACACCCCCCCCCCAGAUGGCAUAACAAGUGUAACUUAAAACAUACCUCCCAAAUAGCACCCUAUUCCCUACAUAGUGCACAACGUUAAGGUGCCAUUUGGGAGACAGACGAGGCGCAGCCCAUAAUCUCAGGAACAUUUCCAGAGAAUGAAGCAGAACUCCUGUUACCUGCUGCGGCAGAGGAUGUUACUGAGAGAUGUGUGUGUGUGUGUGUGUGUGUGUGUAGUAGCUAGUAGACAUGAUGAUGUACUAUAACCACACAGAGAGAGUGUGUGUGUGUGUGUGUGUAUGUGUAUGAAGUAGCUACUAGACGUGUCUCAGUCUGGUUUGAUGAUGUACUAUAACCACACAGAGUGUGAGUGUGUGUGUGUGUGUGUGUGUGUGUGUUAGACGUGUCUCAGUCUGGUCUGAUGAUGUACUAUAACCACACAGAGUGUGAGUGUGUGUGUGUGUGUGUGUGUAGUAGACGUGUCUCAGUCUGGUCUGAUGAUGUACUAUAACCACACAGAGUGUGUGUGUGUGUGUUAGACGUGUCUCAGUCUGGUCUGAUGAUGUACUGUAACAUUCACGUCACUGGGCUGGCUAGCAGUAACCCAUGACGACCAACCAAAACAACACAAACAACUGAAACGGCUUAAAAACAAAGAACUGGGGUGUGUUGACAAGCAUUUCGCUGCACCUGCAAUAACAUCUGCUAAACACGUGUAUGUGACCAAUAACAUUAGACUUGAUUUAAACUGCUGCUGUAGACUGAAUACGAUUCAUAGAUUCAACUACAUACAGUGCUGUAGACUGAAUACGAUUCAUAGAUUCAACUACAUACAGUGCUGUAGACUGAAUAUGAUUCAUAGAUUCAACUACAUACAGUGCUGUAGACUGAAUAUGAUUCAUAGAUUCAACUAUGAACUAUAUACAGUGCUGUAGACUGAAUAUGAUUCAUAGAUUCAACUAUGAAC